rnacentral:sRNA from 1 species
UGGUAGGUUGGUUGGCAGCAAUAGAUUAGCAGCGAUAGAUUAGCAGCGAUAGAUUAGCAGCGAUAGAUUAGCAGCGAUAGAUUAGCAGCGAUAGAUUAGCAGCAAUAGAUUAGCAGCGAUAGAUUAGCAGCGAUAGAUUAGCAGCAAUAGAUAGAUUGACAGUGGUAGAUAAAUUGGCAGCGAUGGAUAGGUUGGCAGCGAUAGAUUAGCAGCGAUAGAUUAGCAGCGAUAGAUUAGCAGCGAUAGAUAGAUUGGCAGUGAUAGAUAGGUUGGCAGCGAUAGAUUGGCAGCAAUAGAUAGGUUGGCAGUGGUAGGUUGGUUGGCAGCAAUAGAUUAGCAGCGAUAGAUUAGCAGCGAUAGAUUAUCAGCGAUAGAUUAGCAGCGAUAGAUUAGCAGCGAUAGAUUAGCAGCAAUAGAUUAGCAGCGAUAGAUUAGCAGCGAUAGAUUAGCAGCGAUAGAUUAGCAGCGAUAGAUUAGCAGCGAUAGAUUAGCAGCGAUAGAUUAGCAGCAAUAGAUUAGCAGCGAUAGAUUAGCAGCAAUAGAUAGAUUGACAGUGGUAGAUAAAUUGGCAGCGAUGGAUAGAUUCGCCGCGGUAGAUAGGUUGGCAGCGAUAGAUUAGCAGCGAUAGAUAGAUUGGCAGUGGUAGAUAAAUUGGCAGCGAUAGAUAGGUUGGCAGCGAUAGAUUAGCAGCGAUAGAUUAGCAGCGAUAGAUUAGCAGCGAUAGAUAGAUUGGCAGUGAUAGAUAGGUUGGCAGCGAUAGCUUAGCAGCGAGGGAUAGCUUGCAGCAAUAGAUAGGUUGGCAGCGGCGAUAGCUUAGCAGCGAGGGAUAGCUUAGCAGCGAGGGAUAGCUUAGCAGCGAGGGAUAGCUUAGCAG